CUGUUAAUUUCAGUUGGAAUUCCAAGGCACCUUAGAAACAAGACAUGCCUAGAAAAUUUAACUAUGUGUCCACAAGGCUGGAAAUGAAUCAAUAAUAAUUGCUUCUUUCAAUCUGAACAUGAAACAACGUGGAUCAAUGGCUGAGAAAACUGCAGAAGUUAUGGAUCUCUGGCCAGGCUCAACUCUCAGAAUGAAAUGGAAUCUUUGAUGCAUUAUCUGGGGCCGUCUUUAUACUGGUUUGAACUGAGCAAGCACAAUGCAAACAAAACGUGGAUGUGGGCAGAUGGAGCUACAUUCAGCAAUUGGUAAGCCUUACUAACAUGUAUUUACUAUUAAAUGUGUAAAGCGUGGUAAAGAUUCUGAGUCUAUAACUGGCUUCCUCCAUAGAUUCCUCCACAUCAUCCCCCCAAAAGACCCUCAAAAAAUAGAUGCCAAAGAGAAUAUUUAGACAAAGUUAUGGUUUUUAGUGAGGGUUUGGCAUCACAUAUCAAUAUUUAUGUAAUCUAUGGAAUUGGUAUAUACCACAUGUGAGUCACACGUGUUCCCUUUAUCCUGAACUGGAUGCAAGUCUACGCAGUUUGAUCCUUUCCUCUUUCGACCUGG
rnacentral:lncRNA from 1 species